AGCCUUUUAUUCAAAAAUGAUUUUAAAUUGCAAAUUUAAAGGUGGGGUAACCUUAAGGCUU
rnacentral:tRNA from 1 species